ACUACCUUUUUCUUAUUCAACCUUUCAAACCAAUUGUUUCUUGUGUGUAUGUGUGUUUGUGCGUGCGUUUGUGUGCGUGCAUGCGUGUGUGACAAACUGACCAUCAUUUGUGGCUGCAAAUGGAACAAAUAGCAUGUUUGCAAAAUUUACCAAUUGGCUAUCAAAUGCUCUUUUGCGUCAUGACGUCCACACUUUUUUGUGAUAUCUUCAUCUUAAUCAUGGCAACAAAAAAAAAUGUUAUGCUACUGGUGAGUAUUUUGCAAACAUUGCAACAACUUUGAUUUCAUUUGAAGCACUUUGCUUUAGUCAUGCUUAUGAAAUGGUUAUUUAAUGUGACGUCUUGAUUUUUGGUGGGGAUGACACUGCUAGGGAUUUCAGUUGAAAUGCAAAGCAGUCAAAUACCUUUUGAAAAUACUUUGAAUAAUAUCUAUAACAUGCCUACAUAUGUAGAUGCUACUUCACAUGGUCUGCAGAACCACAACAGCGCUGCAGGUUUAUGUUAUUAAGAAAUAAGUUGUGUGCCUUGAGUUAGUGAUGGAAUUUUGUGGCACACAACAAACUGCAUGCAGCAUGUGGAAGAAAGGACUCCAGUGUCCCCUUUGAGUAAGUGCGACAGAACCUCCACCACCCCUUUCUGAAAAUCAUUAACAUGCCACUAUACCAUCAUGCUUAAUGCUCUUAAUAGUGCGGUUGCUCUUGGCUGAUUUUCCUACGGAGGAAUUCUCUAAACUGAUCCAUAACCAUGAGCGAGUGGUGAUUUUUGGCUGCCACAUGAAAAAGCAAGUCUCAACAUUCUUUUUGAAAGUCACCAAGCUUUGCGUUUCUUGUGUGCUGGGCCAAAGCGUCAACGGCCGGGAAUGUGAAGCUGGCAGUCCUUAACAUAAGAAAACAUCUGGAAACUUAAAGUAAUGGUUUUGGUUCACAAAUUAAGUCGUUGAUAUGUAGGCAUAACUUUAAUUUGUUCAUGUCAGGUGCUCUAUAAAAAAUGUUCCUUUUACAGUAAGCCAUUCUUUUACCAGUAAUGCAAUGUGCAGGAUAUUUUUAAAUGUUGUUUUCCUUCUUUCUCUGCUCUUUACUGUUAAAAUGUAUAGUAGGUCAACAUCUCAGAUGCACAGGCAGGAGAAGACAUUUAGCUUGUCAGUGUUAUUUUUAUUCGAAUGAUUGUUCUGUAGACAAGAUUAUUACACCAAGUGUGUCUUUAUUUGUCUUGGAACGUAGGCUUCCAACUGCGAUAAAAAAAAAUAAAAAAAGUUAAUUCCCGUUUUCCGUCUAAUUUCAUGAGAAUGCGGGUCCAUGAAACGCCGUGACUGCUUGCAGCUUCUUCACAUUGAUAACUAUGGCCGAACCUCUCCAUGUUCUCCAUUUGAAGCUCAUAGUUGUUUGAGUUGUUGUAUUGUGAUGAUGGGUGAGCUAUGUUGAGUGUCUUGCUUGAGUGAGUCACGGUAUUCACACGCACACGCAAGGAGAAUGGAGUGGGCUUGUUGCCGAAGCUUCCACGUCAACUUUGUGUCACCUGGGAUUGACAUGGUUCUCUGCGCGUGCUUUUGCGUGCACGCCUGUGUGUCCACGCACCUAUGUGUGUGUGUGUGUGUUGAUUCUCUGCGCUGCAGGCAGAACUGAUGACUCGUCAUGUACCUCUCUAUCUACAAGAGCUGCUCUGUUGCCUAGCAACACUGACCAAACAGCAGUAGCGAGAAGAGUCAAGUGCUCUCUGAAACCCCUCAUCGCUCGCUCCUGUUCUUUGUCUUUUUGAUCAGUGCUCUCUAUUAGUCAAUAGAUACGGUUGCCUUAUGUUUUCACAUUUUAACUCAUGUUGCCACAUGUUGUAGUGCGCAUGUGUGUAUUACGGAAAUGUGUUAGCUUUGGCUCCAAUGGCCAGGAGCGGAGAAAAGAGCCACUCACUUUAUUGACUUGGUCGCCACAUUGAUCAGCUUCUAAAACAAAGACAAGACUAUUGAAAUACAACCCUGUCAUUCAUUCGUACCAGAGCUGCAGACUCUUAUGUUAAAAUAUUCAAUAGAGUUCUUGGAAAUUUUUGAUUGGGUGCUAAAAGGACACAAUGUGUUUUCUGCUGCCAAGAAAAUCUGAAGAGGGGAGUUGCUCAAUACUGGUAGUAGCUUGUUUAUCCUGGUUUCCCCCUUUUUUUUGUUUGUUGGGUGGGGGUGCACAUGAUAUCACACACAGGAAUUUUCCCACACCCUCUUGUGGACCGUUACUGUCUACGUAGUCUAAAGCAUAUGGGAUUCCUCCCGGUGGCAGUAACAUCCUGCUUGUACAGCACUGAUACACUCACACACACACACACACGCACAGACAAUACGCUGCAUGUCGUUGACCCUCAAGGGAGAGAAGGGAAGCUUGGUGGGAAUAAUGAGGGAAAAUAGAGCUCUAGAAAAUGGAAAGAUAUUAGCCCGCGGAGGGAAAGAGAAGUCUCAUGUCUGAGUUUGGAAAUAAUGAUGAAAUGAGAAGUCUAAAGUUAAAAUUAUUUUCAAAGCUGCCAUGUCUAAAAGAAAAGAUUAUUUGAUAAAUAGCUCAAUCUAUUUUAAAGUGGAACAAUUUGUUUUGUUUUGAUGUGGUCAUGUCUUUUCAAUCCAAUCCAAACCAAACCGGUUUUUGUUUCAAAUCUUUUCUAUUUUAUUUAUUUUUUCCCACCCCCUAAUUCCAUCAAUCAUAUUGGGAUGAACUUGAACCGUCCCAGACUAUUCACUGGGCCCUUUUGUCCAAGAUUGGUCACAUCAAACAGCUUUCCUUGCCUUCUUCUGGAUAAAUAGACAAAAAAAAAAACUGUGGUGGCUAUUUGUCUUUACUAAUGUCUAUUUAAAGUGUAUCUAGCAGAAUCAAUUACGAACCCUAAAAAAUGGUUCUUGCGGG